GCCGGGAUGGCGGAAUAGGCAGACGCACAGGACUUAAAAUCCUGUGGGGCUAUGCCCCAUGCGGGUUCGAUUCCCGCUCCCGGCACGA
rnacentral:tRNA from 1 species